GGCAAGUUUGGCAUGUGAUACCAUUUCGGAAAGCCCCAAGAGAGCCCUCCGACGAAAGAAGCCAAGAACAAUGGACUUUUCCAUUGACUUUUUGUCGACUCCAGAUUUUGACCUUUAAGUACUUUUGCGGGCAUUUUCAUUAUUUGUGCUAUAUGACGGACCCCAAAUUACUUUUUCAAGCAUUGUUUUCGAAUAUUUUUCAUGCAUCAAAGCUCGUUAAGACUAGAUGGGGUAUCCCUACAUGGCGGGUGGGACCCACGGCGAACGGUUCAUCAAGACUUAAAAACAGAAUAUAUACGAUUGCAUUGCAUAUACUAACGGAUGCGAUCAUACCAGCACUAAUGCACCGGAUCCCAUCAGAACUCCGCAGUUAAGCGUGCUUGGGCGAGAGUAGUACUAGGAUGGGUGACCUCCCGGGAAGUCCUCGUGUUGCAUCCCUCUUUUUUUUUUUUUUUUUUUUGGUUAAAACUUUAUGACUCGAUAACUUCUACACAG
rnacentral:rRNA from 1 species